rnacentral:lncRNA from 7 species
CACCUAAUAUCUGGUGGGGUCAACCUGUCAACCCUCCUCCCGUGACCACCACAUGCCCAACGGAUUUCUGUUUGAGAAGAUCGUGCCGGCUCACCUGGGAAUCCUACCGACCGGAUGCCUUUGGGCUCUUAUAAAUUCCUGACCGCCUAGUCGUAGCCACCGCCGUAUGCAUCUGUGUCGAGAUGAGAGAGAGGAAUCGAAGGGUGAGAGAGAGACCACGGGGUAGAAGGUAAUCCCGUGCGCGGCCGUGGGGGCGAUUCUAUCGGCGCCAUCGAUUCAGUUGAGGAAGUGGUGGGGGAAACUCCGGUGAUUCGUGGGGAGGCGCGCGAAGCAUGAUCCAGUCGGAAUCUGGCCGACUCUAGCCGGGAUUCGUCGCUGGACUUCACGGAGCAGCCGAUCCGCCUACCCCAACAUCGCCGCACUGCUCUGCUGAAUGAUCACCGUGCUAACAGUGAUCUGGGAGGGGGAGUGUGAUCGAGAUGGGAGAAAUCGCCGUCGUGACCCCGCAUCGACCCGCACCGCCUUGCCAAACCCAGGGAGCCAUCGGGAGGACAAC